ACGUGAUUUCCAAGGUUCAUUUUGGAAAAUAGCCUCAAGGAUGAGACGAUGAGGAUUUUGAAGAUGGGUCUUAAGAGAAAAGACUGAGGUCCCUCGAAGAUGAAGAAAUCCUCAUGAAGAUGAAUCCAAAGGCGGAUUCAAUUCUAGCUGUCUUUGGACUCAAGACUGCAACAUCAACACUUCCCAGGGUUGUGUUUCUCUGGAGAAUCCUGAUUAAUGCACGAAAGGUCAGGAUAAGUCUACUCCAAGGUAAAAUCUUUCUCAUGAUAUUUAAGACUUGAAAGGGGCUUCAGGAGACUCUCUGCGACAGCAUCUAGGAGUGACUCCCAGCCUGCCACCCUACACA
rnacentral:lncRNA from 1 species